CGGCGCACGGGUGCGUAACGCGUAUGCAAUCUACCUUUUACAGAGGGAUAGCCCAGAGAAAUUUGGAUUAAUACCUCAUAGUAUAUAGCCCUGGCAUCAGGAUUAUAUUAAAGUCACAACGGUAAAAGAUGAGCAUGCGUCCCAUUAGCUAGUUGGUAAGGUAACGGCUUACCAAGGCUACGAUGGGUAGGGGUCCUGAGAGGGAGAUCCCCCACACUGGUACUGAGACACGGACCAGACUCCUACGGGAGGCAGCAGUGAGGAAUAUUGGACAAUGGGCGCAAGCCUGAUCCAGCCAUGCCGCGUGCAGGAUGACGGUCCUAUGGAUUGUAAACUGCUUUUAUACGAGAAGAAACACUCCUUCGUGAAGGAGCUUGACGGUAUCGUAAGAAUAAGGAUCGGCUAACUCCGUGCCAGCAGCCGCGGUAAUACGGAGGAUCCCAGCG
rnacentral:rRNA from 1 species